AUAUUAUUACCAAAUUGCUUAUUAGAUCUUCUUAAACUUUUUCCUUCUUCAUCAUAUUAUAUAUGCAUUUCAUUAACUUUAUAGGGUCUUUAGUCUAUUAAAUAAUUCUAAGAGACAAUUUAGGGGUCCUAGGAUUGAGGAAGAGAAUCAUAAAGUUUUAUUGAGUUCUUUAUGUUGCUUUAGGUCUCAUUUGCAUUACC
rnacentral:lncRNA from 1 species